GCAGCUGGUGGUAACUACUAAGAUGAAAAAUAAAGUAGGGUGAGAGGAAGAGGAGAGUGAGGGGUCAGCGGGUUUAUAUAGUCUGGUGAUUCAUUCAUUUAUUCAUGUUACCUUGGGCAGCUAGUUACGGAGAGCUUUCUGUGUGCCUGGCCCUGUGCCAGGCUCCAUAAAGAAGCCAUUCUCCCCUGGAUCUCCUGUCCAACAGAGGAGACAGAAUCCAUCAAAUAAUCUCCAGAAAUGAAUAUAGAACCAAAGGAGUUACCUGAAGAGAUGGGCAAGUCUUCCCUAAGGAUGCUAUAGUUGGGGCGCAUGUUUACUAUUUAUCCUUUUCAACACAAAUUUACUGCAUGAAAGACGCUGUGUGCAUAAUGAAGUGUUGGGAGACAAAGGCGGCAGGAAGACUCCUCGUGAGGCAUCUAUAGCCUGGGAAUUCCAAGAUGUGAUGGAAAAGGAGCAAGUCAGCAAAAGGAGGAAAUCAAAGCUACAGAGAUCAAGAGCUAAUGAACUGAUUCUCCUUCAGCACCCACUACCCCAACCCCACAUUUCAGGCAAAGACUUUCCAACCACUGGCCCAGUAGAAGCUGCUUCUCAAAGAUGCCCCCCCAUGAACCUGCCUCUCUAGGCACACCUUGCCUGGCUCCAGUCCACACGGACUCUGGGCUUGGCCUGUGACUCGUAUUUGCCAGCAGAAUAUGACAGAAGGGAUGCCGUUUCCAAACACAAGCCCUAAAGGUCUGACAGCAUGCACUUUGGUGCUUUUGAGAACUCUGAGCCAUAAGCAGGCAGCCCCGAUUCCCCGCUGGAGAGGCGCCGUGGAGAGUGAGAAGCCCUGAGCCUACCUGAGAAGGGAGCAGCUCAGCCCUCCCAACACCUCAGCGGAGCACAGCCUGGCAGCGGUCCCUGCCAAGUCACCAUGUCACAGCCCCACCCGCCAUCUGACUGCAGUUACUUGUGAGACCCCAAGUGAGACCAGCAGAACCACCCGCUAAGCCCCAGCCAACCCAUAAAUCCAUGAGAAAUAAUAAAACAAUCUCAUUUAUUUA